UGCUGUAUAAUGUUAAUAUUAAAGGCAGGGUAGGCAGCUUUUGUCUAAAAACAUUUUUUCCACAUUUGUUUAAACUGUCUUUAUAAUACAUAAUUAAAAUGUAAGUACUCUGAAAAAUAGAGUAUAAAAGUCGAGUGUCUGUACACCUCUCACAACUGUUUGAAACACGGCUAAUUAUUUCCAUUCGGGACGAAACAAAUGAUAGGCUUGGGCGACUGUCACUCUGUCUCGCAACCGUUGCUACCACCCCCACUGCUACAGGAUCUGCCCACAUGCGCGCGCACUUUGAUUUAAGGAUUGCAGAGGCACGGAACCUAGGAAGAGUAUGGCAGAGAAACUCGCAGUACCUGCAUUUGCAGUCAGCGAAAGCAAACACGGCAAAAAAAUGAAGACCGUACUAGAAAAGGCAAUGAACAAAAAGUAUUUGGAUAAACAAAGAAACCAAACAAGAGUCAACAUCAACGUGGCUUUCCUGUGAUGGCGAGAACUGCGUGAUCUCAAGGGGCUGAAAAGUGACGCAAUGAUGACUUUAUUUCUGCUGGACAGGUACAGCAAGCUGUACAACAAGAAGUCCAGGAAGUGGAGAGAUUGUAUUCAUUAAAGGUGAAGAAGGACUACAGCUACAUUGCAGACCUACAGAGUGCCAUCCUUCUUCAACGGUUGUCAGCUAAUAAGGGGAUGGCUAGAAGCAGAACCAGGAGACCUCAUGAUCCCCGUCAACAUGGCGUUCUGUCUGGUGCACCUGCCCCAUCAACACAGGAGCUAUUGCAAAUUCAAGUCAGCAGAGGGUCAGGUCAAUUGCUGCCAAAACAAUAAAUCAUCUCCAUAGCUGAUGUGAUGCUACGUCCCAAGUCUGGCCCGUCAACCAGUCAAGACACCUCUGGAGACACCAUGUCUUUAUUUAUGUAUAGUGUUAUUUUGAUUGUGCUGAUGUUUUUUAUAUCUGUAUAGGUUAUAGUUUUAGUAAUAUAAAAAUAAACAAGUGACAUACUACAUUUGGUUGUCGUUAUUUUAGAAGUAAUACAUAAAUGUAGUUUUGAAAUCUAAUGUGGUUUCUGAUGCAAGUGUAAAGAAAAGUCAUUUAUCAUUUUCAGUCAAAUUAUUUAUUUAAAAAAACAAAAUGUUGUACAGAACCCCCAAAAAUAUAUAUAUUUACAUAUAGUAGACUGUAAAACACAAAAACUAUGUACAUGUAUUCAUUCACACAGUGGAUAGAACGUUCUUGAAAGCACUCAUUACAAUUACACUCUACUAGGGAUAAAACCUCUGUACUGUUGCAGUGGAUCAGGAUAACGGUCGCGUAUCUUCCAGACACAGCAACUUGGAAUCACGACUCUGUGACCCUGUCCUAGUGCUCCAUACUGCCACACUACAAAUUGCCUGUAUGGCAAUAAAUUGGCUUUAUUUCUCUUUAAGAGGACUUAUGUGCACAUUACACUUCAGAUCAUAUACCUGUUCACAUGCCCGUGUUUGAGCUUUAAGAUUCAAAACUCGACGCAGGUCCUCUUGUCCAAGACUAAGUGCUUCUUGCCCUGCACUUCGACCACCCCGUCCUCGGACCUUACUUCCGCGGACCCUGGUUGCUCGCCCUCGACCACGGACCUGUCCUCAAGCCGACGAUACGGUACUUGUCCCCGGAGUGUAGUCCUCAUCAGAGUCAACAGCAAUGCUUUCAUCGUGGAAACUCUUACAUGCCACACACCGUAUAUGUUAUGAAUCUUACACGAAAUUCACCUUCAUCACCGUGUAAAUGAUGGUAACUAAAACGUGUAUCAAUGCAACCUGUUUUUAGCAAACAUAGCUAGCUUGUUCGUUACCGAAUCAAACGAAAUAAAUGUUAAACUUUACCAGUAUCGAUAUGCUAGCUUGAUAGUGAGUACUGAAAGCCAUCCUAUUUGUUUAUAUUCAAAAAGUGAUAAAGUUAGGUUUAUUAUUACAUGUGAUUCUGGCAC